CCUACGGGAGGCUGCAGUGGGGAAUAUUGCACAAUGGGCGCAAGCCUGAUGCAGCCACGCCGCGUGUGUGAAGAAGGCCUUCGGGUCGUAAAGCACUUUCAGCGGGGAGGAGGGCGGUGAGGUUAAUAACCUCAUCGAUUGACGUUACCCGCAGAAGAAGCACCGGCUAACUCCGUGCCAGCAGCCGCGGUAAUACGGAGGGUGCAAGCGUUAAUCGGAAUUACUGGGCGUAAAGCGCACGCAGGCGGUCUGUCAAGUCGGAUGUGAAAUCCCCGGGCUCAACCUGGGAACUGCAUUCGAAACUGGCAGGCGAGAGUCUUGUAGAGGGGGGUAGAAUUCCAGGUGUAGCGGUGAAAUGCGUAGAGAUCUGGAGGAAUACCGGUGGCGAAGGCGGCCCCCUGGACAAAGACUGACGCUCAGGUGCGAAAGCGUGGGGAGCAAACAGGAUUAGAUACCCGUGUAGUC
rnacentral:rRNA from 1 species